GGAACGCAGAGAAGGUCGGCACAGCAAGACGACGGGGCGCUGCGAACGCACCUGGUUAAAUUGCUGAAGGGCGGAUCCGCGCACGUGGGUUUCGACGCGGCCGUGGACGGCUGGCCAGAGAAACUGCGCGGCGUAGUGCCGGUGGGAGCAGUGCACACA
rnacentral:misc_RNA from 1 species